rnacentral:tRNA from 1 species
GGCUCUGUGGUCUAGUGGUACGAUUCAUGUUUUGGGUACAUGAGGUCCCGGGUUCGAUCCCCGGCAGGGCCC